CCUACGGGAGGCUGCAGUGGGGAAUAUUGGACAAUGGGGGCAACCCUGAUCCAGCCAUGCCGCGUGUGUGAAGAAGGCCCUCGGGUUGUAAAGCACUUUCAGUGAGGAAGAACGCCUGGUGGUUAAUACCCAUCAGGAAGGACAUCACUCACAGAAGAAGCACCGGCUAACUCCGUGCCAGCAGCCGCGGUAAUACGGAGGGUGCGAGCGUUAAUCGGAAUUACUGGGCGUAAAGCGCGCGUAGGUGGCUUGAUAAGCCGGCUGUGAAAGCCCCGGGCUCAACCUGGGAACGGCAUCCGGAACUGUCAAGCUAGAGUGCAGGAGAGGAAGGUAGAAUUCCCGGUGUAGCGGUGAAAUGCGUAGAGAUCGGGAGGAAUACCAGUGGCGAAGGCGGCCUUCUGGACUGACACUGACACUGAGGUGCGAAAGCGUGGGUAGCAAACAGGAUUAGAUACCCCUGUAGUC
rnacentral:rRNA from 1 species